GCUGGGCACAGUGGCGCAUGCCUGUAAUCCCAGCAGCUCGGGAGGCUGAGGCAGGAGGAUAUCAAGUUCAAAGCCAGCCUCAG
rnacentral:sRNA from 1 species